AGAAAAGAAACUAACACUGAAUUUUUGGUACCAAGGAUUGUGACUGUUGCCGUGACAAACUUGAGCAUGUGUUCGAAGGCCUUUGGAACUGGUUGGGACUUGCCAGUGGAUUUAAUUAUUUACACUCUCAAGGUGUUCCAGAAGGUCUUUGAAGAUGCCAAGCGACUGAUCAGUCAUUACCUGUGAUUAAUGAGCAAGGAGGCUGCUGAAGCUGCAAUGUGAUUGAUAGUCACCUGCAUCAUCAUUAACAUCAUGAUGAGAGACACCAUUACCACCAUUAGCAGUAGCAACAUUAUCAGCAUCUUCACCACCAUGACCAGAGAAGACAGACACUGCCACUGCUGCUGCCACCACCACCACCUGGUAUUGACUCAGGAAUGAAAACGCCACUGCUGCUAUUAGCUCCCUCUCUCACACCCUUUCUAUCUCAAUUUGUCUCCCACACUUCCCUCCUCUACUCAAGAUGCAUUAGCCAUGCUGGAACCUGUGAUGAUCUUAGGAUUUUAAAAACAUUUUCCAGUUAGCUGACAUAGUUCUGAUAUACCAGUGCUGAGUGUAUACUUUCUAUUGCUAUGAUAAAAUACCCAACAAAAGCAAGUAAAGGAAGGAACGAUUAACUACAGAUCAUAAGUCAAGGGAGUAGUCCAUCAC
rnacentral:lncRNA from 1 species